AGGACGAACGCUGGCGGCGUGCUUAACACAUGCAAGUCGAACGGUAAGGCCCUUCGGGGUACACGAGUGGCGAACGGGUGAGUAACACGUGGGUGAUCUGCCCUGCACUUCGGGAUAAGCUUGGGAAACUGGGUCUAAUACCGGAUAUGACUACGAAUCGCAUGGUUUGUGGUGGAAAGCUUUUGCGGUGUGGGAUGGGCCCGCGGCCUAUCAGCUUGUUGGUGGGGUGAUGGCCUACCAAGGCGACGACGGGUAGCCGGCCUGAGAGGGUGUCCGGCCACACUGGGACUGAGAUACGGCCCAGACUCCUACGGGAGGCAGCAGUGGGGAAUAUUGCACAAUGGGCGCAAGCCUGAUGCAGCGACGCCGCGUGAGGGAUGACGGCCUUCGGGUUGUAACCUCUUUCAGUAUCGACGAGCGCAAGUGACGGUAGGUACAGAAGAAGGACCGGCCAACUACGUGCCAGCAGCCGCGGUAA
rnacentral:rRNA from 1 species